AGUUUUAACUAGCACAGAAUGGAAACUUGGCGAAUAAAAUAGUGAUAGUCCCUCCUUUUUACCAGGUUGUUAUGGGCGACUCUGAUAAGCAAAAAGGAGGCGUGGAGUAGAUGGAAGUAAAGACCCCUCCUAAACUCGAAGAAGGGAAAUGCUGUAACAAUUAAGAACACGAUAGAAUUACCAAAGGUGUGACCUGAGCCAGUGAACCAUGCCAUCAGAGUUACUGGAAGGAGGUCAGAGGUGGCCAGCUGACCACGCGAAUCCCUGCUCCCCUUCCCAUGGUGUAGAGUUGGUGCUGGAAAGUGGCCGAUGAGCCAGAGACCACAUUUCUUGGCCACCUUGGCAUUGUGUGGCCAAUGGACUAGUUCUAUUCACUGGAAUGAUACUGGACCGGACUGGGAGGAACCAUGGGAGGGUUGAUGAAGAGUGGCAAGGUAGGCAUUAAGAUAGACAAUUCUCGAAUUCAGAAGGUAUCUUACCUUAUAAUGUAACAUAUGAUAUUCAGUGUUGCUGCCUGUGCUGAGAUGAGCACCCUCAGACAGUAUUAGUGGGAUGCUCCAUUGGAUAACUUUCUGAGGGACCAUAUGGUCACAUGAAACCAACACUUUUAAAUAGUUAAUAUCUUGGGGGCACCUGCGUGGCUCAGUCCAUUGAGCAGCCAAUUUCAGCUCAGGUCGUGAUCUCACAGUCAGUGAGCUCAAGCCCCACAUCAGGCUCGCUGCUGUCAGCACAGAGCCCGCUUUG
rnacentral:lncRNA from 1 species